rnacentral:rRNA from 1 species
UGGGGAAUAUUGCACAAUGGGCGCAAGCCUGAUGCAGCCAUGCCGCGUGUAUGAAGAAGGCCUUCGGGUUGUAAAGUACUUUCAGUCGGGAGGAAGGUGGUAAGGUUAAUAACCUUAUCAAUUGACGUUACCGACAGAAGAAGCACCGGCUAACUCCGUGCCAGCAGCCGCGGUAAUACGGAGGGUGCAAGCGUUAAUCGGAAUUACUGGGCGUAAAGCGCACGCAGGCGGUUGAGUGAGUCAGAUGUGAAAUCCCCGGGCUUAACCCGGGAAUUGCAUCUGAUACUGGUCGGCUAGAGUCUUGUAGAGGGGGGUAGAAUUCCAUGUGUAGCGAUGAAAUGCGUAGAGAUGUGGAGGAAUACCGGUGGCGAAGGCGGCCCCCUGGACAAAGACUGACGCUCAGGUGCGAAAGCGUGGGGAGCAAACAGG